rnacentral:rRNA from 1 species
UAGGGAAUAUUAGAAAUGGACGAAAGUCUGAUCUAGCAACACCGCGUGUGCGAAGAAGGCCUUCGGGUUGUAAAGCACUUUUUGGAAGGAUUAGGAAGGAAUGUACUUCCAGAAUAAGUCUCGGCUAACUACGUGCCAGCAGCCGCGGUAACACGUAGGAGGCAAACGUUAUCCGGAUUUACUGGGCGUAAAGCGCGUGUAGGUGGUUCUGUAAGUAGGGCGUGAAAGCUCCUGGCUUAACUGGGAGAGGUCGUUCAAAACUAUCAGACUUGAGAGUGGUAGAGGGAGGUGGAAUUCCGCAUGUAGUGGUGAAAUGCGUAGAUAUGCGGAGGAACACCAGUGGCGAAAGCGGCCUCCUGGCCUAUUUCUGAUGCUCAGACACGAAAGCUAAGGUAGCAAACGUGAUUAGAUACCCUGGUACUU